GUGGUGCUGGGGCUGCCCUUCCUGCUGGAGAACCCCAGCGGCUACCUGUCCCGCUCCUUUGACCUUGGCCGCCAGUUUCUGUUCCACUGGACAGUGAACUGGCGCUUCCUCCCAGAGGCGCUCUUCCUGCAUCGAGCCUUCCACCUGGCCCUGUUGACUGCCCACCUCACCCUGCUCCUGCUGUUUGCCCUCUGCAGGUGGCACAGGACAGGGGAAAGUAUCUUGUCGCUGCUGAGGGAUCCCUCCAAAAGGAAGGUUCCACCCCAGCCCCUUACACCCAACCAUAUCCUUUAAAUUGUGGGAAGUCCCCCCCACACACACUCCUGCCCUUGGCCUUGACCACCGCA
rnacentral:lncRNA from 1 species